rnacentral:sRNA from 1 species
UACUAAUAUUUAUUGAUUAAGAAUUUGCACUUGUUGAUUGCUGCUGAAAAUCUGAGCAAACAAAAUUCUUGCAACACUGAAUUUGACUGCUAUCUAUAUGAUGAUUCUGUUAAUAUCAAAGAAAAAUCUAUUUUAGAUCUGUGGAGGAUGAUCAGUAGUCAGUACUCAACAGUGACAAUGAUGGCAUGUGAUAUUCUGACAAUUCCAUUGACAGGAGUUGGUAUGGAGAGAAAGUUUAACUCAAGUUGAGAUAUUUGUCACUAUUGUCAUAGUCAAUUGCAAGGAGAAACUGUAAAGAAAUUGAUGAUGAUUAAGCAUGGAAAAGAAAAAGAAAUUGUUGAUAAGAAUUCUAUUGUGACAGAAUUCUCUUCCAAUGAUAUAGUGGAGG